CCUACGGGAGGCAGCAGUGGGGGAUAUUGCACAAUGGGGGAAACCCUGAUGCAGCGACGCCGCGUGUGGGAAGACGGUCCUCUGGAUUGUAAACCACUGUUCCCAGGGAAGAAGAUGACGGUACCGGGGGAGGAAGCACGGGCUAACUCCGUGCCAGCAGCCGCGGUAAUACGGAGGGAGCGAGCUUUGUCCGGAAUUACGGGGGGUCAGGGGAGCGAAGGCGGGGAUGCAAGGUGGGUGUCAAACGUCCCGCCUCAACUGGUAGUCGCACUCGAAACUGCAGCUCUUGAGUGAAGUAGAGGCAGGCGGAAUUCCUAGUGUAGCGGUGAAAUGCGUAGAUAUUAGGAGGAACACCAAUGGCGAAGGCAGCCUGCUGGGCUUUUACUGACGCUGCGGCUCGAAAGUGUGGGGAGCAAACAGGAUUAGAUACCCGAGUAGUC
rnacentral:rRNA from 1 species